AUGUCUCUAAGACUAUUCCCGAAACUCUAACGGUGGAUAAGGGGACGCGCUCGUUCGAGGUUGAAUUCGUAUAUGAAAAUUUGCCGCAUUUUUGUGGCUUUUGCAAUCUUGCAGGUCAUAACAUUGCUCAAUGCCGCCGCAAGAAACAGCAGGACAACAACACUGACAUCACGAAUCGUACAAGCUCGGAUCAACCUUCUC
rnacentral:lncRNA from 1 species